UACGGAGGGAGCUAGCGUUGUUCGGAAUUACUGGGCGUAAAGCGCGCGUAGGCGGUUUCUCAAGUCAGAGGUGAAAGCCCGGGGCUCAACCCCGGAACUGCCUUUAAGACUGCAUCGCUUGAAUCCAGGAGAGGUGAGUGGAAUUCCGAGUGUAGAGGUGAAAUUCGUAGAUAUUCGGAAGAAACACCAGUGGCGGAAGGCGACUUACUGGACACAUAUUGACGCUGAGGUGCGAAAGCGUGGGGAGCAAACAGGG
rnacentral:rRNA from 1 species